rnacentral:rRNA from 1 species
GACGAACGCUGGCGGCGUGCUUAACACAUGCAAGUCGAACGGAAAGGCCCUGCUUUUGUGGGGUGCUCGAGUGUCGAACGGGUGAGUAACACGUGAGUAACCUGCCCUUGACUUUUGGAUAACUUCAGGAAACUGGGGCUAAUACCGGAUAGGAGCUCCUGCUGCAUGGUGGGGGUUGGAAAGUUUCGGCGGUUGGGGAUGGACUCGCGGCUUAUCAGCUUGUUGGUGGGGUAGUGGCUUACCAAGGCUUUGACGGGUAGCCGGCCUGAGAGGGUGACCGGACAAAUUGGGACUGAGAUACGGCCCAGACUCCUACGGGAGGCAGCAGUGGGGAAUAUUGCACAAUGGGCGGAAGCAUGAGGCAGCAACGCCGCGUGCGGGAUGACGGCCUUCGGGUUGUAAACCGCUUUCGCCUGUGACGAAGCGUGAGUGAAGGUAAUGGGUAAAGAAGCACCGGCUAAAUAAGUG